AUGACCACCUCAUCCGUCUGGUCUCAGCAGUGCGCACUGCUGUCGUCGUCGGUGCAGUCAUCGUCGUGGUCAAUGGAACGACGCCGGGGGGCGCGACAGCCUUGUCCGACGGUUGCCUGCCACUCGCGGAGGAGCCGCUCCUCCUCCUGCUAUGUUGUGAUGAGUGUCGUCGCGACCACUGCCUUGGGAGCCAUGGCGGCGGCCUUGCCGCGCCCGGCGUUGGCGGAGCAGCCACUAAGCAACCAUUCCUCGUCGAUCAUGGCGAGCUCGCCCCCAAGGCGGCAGCGACGCUUGGCGACCGUCUAUGUGGUGAUCACGGAGCGGUUGAGCGCUCACGCGGCGACGAGGUCAUGGUCGUUGUGA
rnacentral:rRNA from 1 species